rnacentral:rRNA from 1 species
UACGAAGGGGGCUAGCGUUGCUCGGAAUCGACUAGGGGCGUAAAGGGUGCGUAGGCGGGUCUUUAAGUCAGGGUGAAAUACCUGGAGCUCCAACCUCCAGAACUGCCUUUGAUACUGAAGUAUCGUUGAGUUCGGGAGAGGUGAGUGGGAACUGCGAGUGUAGAGGUGAAAAUUCGUAGAUAUUCGCAAGAACACCAGUGGCGAAAGGCGGCUCACUGGCCCGAUACUGACGCUGAGGCACGAAAGCGAUGG